rnacentral:lncRNA from 1 species
GAAGGAUGUAGUAGUUUAUUACUAACAAAGGAGUAGAAACAUGAAGGGUACAUAAAUUGUCUAAGAUUUAUUUAUAAAACACGACAGACAGUAAGCACAACCAGUAUAAUUUCUGUAUUUUCUGGGGUAGUGCUGAUUUAAAAUAUUCGGUCUUCUUGCCUCCUGAUUGCAUUUAUAAUUGUCAAACCACAUUCCUGGGUCUGUGGUUCAGAAAAUAUGGUCAUCCUGCUUAUAAAAUAAAGACAUAUGUACCAUAGGAGCCCUGACUGUCAAGGCAGCCAUCUGUGUCCAGUGCAAUGGGUCAAACAUAGAGUGUUUCUUUAGUAAACACCACAGACUUGCUGUCUGCAUGCUUCCUUAGAGGACACAGCGACUAAUUGAUGGUCAAAUGGCAUCCUUCAAUGAAGGUUGGGAUUGGGCAAAACUGGGAUAAACACUGGAACCUGUUUUAGUUACCUAUUGCUGAGUCAUAGGAACCUCAACAAGCCAGUAAUGGCUUAAAACUCAUGAUUUUGUGUGUCUGGAAUAUUUCAGGGGCUUGUCUCGGGUGGUUCUUCUCUGCUCUGCCUGGCUAGGACUGUCACUUGGUGCUGCUCCUUGCUUUUCCCUCUCCACGUGACAUCCUCAUCCUUCAGGGCCUGUUAGUGGAACCUGGACUACUCACAAAUGGUGAUGGGCAUCAGACAUGACAUAUGUAACAUGUCCCAUGCACGGAAGGGUGCUCCAUGACUGCAAACCUGGAUGAUGAUGACAACGACGGAAUUGCUGUUGUUUCCUGGCUUCCUGAUGGUCCUGUUUUUUACCUUCUGCUGCUUUUUAUGGAUUUAUUUUUGAACCACUCAUGUGCCUCGUAAGUCAAAGCAAGCUCUGAGUGAGUGGCUUCCUUCCCUUGGAGCUGCCUGUCUGGUGACCUCCUCUGCCAGGUUUCCACUUCCAUGAACUCUGUGUGACUCCUUCCUGAUUUUCCAUAUGCAAAUGCAAGCAAACAUAGUACCAUUUCCUUUAUUUUCCCUUUUGUACACAAAGGGUGACAUUC